rnacentral:sRNA from 1 species
UUUUUGUUUUCAGGGAGGAUCGAACUAUGAAAGUUUCACCCUUCCCCAAAUCUUCUCCUACCACUGGACCACAAAUGCUUGGGCUUAUUUUCUAUGUUAUGUUUUAUUUGUAAAAUAAAAUUUGGACCCUACUUUUAAUAAAUUUAGUU